UAAGGAAUAUUGCGCAAUGGGCGAAAGCCUGACGCAGCGACGCCGCGUGUGGGAGGAAGCCUUUCGGGGUGUAAACCACUGUCAGAGGGGAAGAACACCAUCGUUCCAAAUAGGACGGUGACUGACGGUACCCUCAGAGGAAGCGCCGGCUAACUCCGUGCCAGCAGCCGCGGUAAGACGGAGGGCGCAAGCGUUGUUCGGAAUUACUGGGCGUAAAGCGCGGGCAGGUGGUCCGUUAAGUCGUCUGUGAAAAUCCGGGGCUCAACCCCGUGAAAUGCAGGCGAUACUGGCGGACUGGAGAUCGGUAGAGGCUAGCGGAAUUCCUGGUGUAGCGGUGGAAUGCGUAGAUAUCAGGAAGAACACCCGUGGCGAAGGCGGCUAGCUGGGCCGAGUCUGACACUCAUCCGCGAAAGCGUGGGGAGCAAACAGGAUUAGAUACCCCCGUAGUCC
rnacentral:rRNA from 1 species